GCCAGGUAUGGUGAUGCACACCUGUAGUCCUAGCUACUUGGGAGGCUGAAGCAGGAGAAUUACUUGAGCCCAGGAAUUUGAGACUGCAGUGUGCUAUGAUUGCUUCUGUGAAUAGCCACUGUACUCCAGCCUGGGCAACAUAGUAAGACCCCAUCUCAA
ensembl:misc_RNA Metazoa_SRP Metazoan signal recognition particle RNA